GACGAACGCUGGCGGCGUGCUUAACACAUGCAAGUCGAACGGAAAGGCCCUGCUUUUGUGGGGUGCUCGAGUGGCGAACGGGUGAGUAACACGUGAGUAACCUGCCCUUGACUUUGGGAUAACUUCAGGAAACUGGGGCUAAUACCGGAUAGGAGCUCCUGCUGCAUGGUGGGGGUUGGAAAGUUUCGGCGGUUGGGGAUGGACUCGCGGCUUAUCAGCUUGUUGGUGGGGUAGUGGCUUACCAAGGCUUUGACGGGUAGCCGGCCUGUGAGGGUGACCGGCCACAUUGGGACUGAGAUACGGCCCAGACUCCUACGGGAGGCAGCAGUGGGGAAUAUUGCACAAUGGGCGGAAGCCUGAUGCAGCAACGCCGCGUGCGGGAUGACGGCCUUCGGGUUGUAAACCGCGUUCGCCUGUGACGAAGCGUGAGUGACGGUAAUGGGUAAAGAAGCACCGGCUAACUACGUG
rnacentral:rRNA from 1 species